rnacentral:rRNA from 1 species
GACGAACGCUGGCGGCGUGCUUAACACAUGCAAGUCGAACGGAAAGGCCCUGCUUUUGUGGGGUGCUCGAGUGGCGAACGGGUGAGUAACACGUGAGUAACCUGCCCUUGACUUUGGGAUAACUUCAGGAAACUGGGGCUAAUACCGGAUAGGAGCUCCUGCUGCGUGGUGGGGGUUGGAAAGUUUCGGCGGGUGGGGAUGGACGCGCGGCUUAUCAGCUUGUUGGUGGGGUAGUGGCUUACCAAGGCUUUGACGGGUAGCCGGCCUGAGAGGGUGACCGGCGACAUUGGGACUGAGAUACGGCCCAGACUCCUACGGGAGGCAGCAGUGGGGAAUAUUGCACAAUGGGCGGAAGCCUGAUGCAGCAACGCCGCGUGCGGGAUGACGGCCUUCGGGUUGUAAACCGCUUUCGCCUGUGACGAAGCGUGAGUGACGGUAAUGGGUAAAGAAGCACCGGCUAACUACGUG